UGAUGUACCGUGCAAAGGUAGCAUAAUCAAUUGUUUUUUAAUUGAAGGCUUGAAUGAAUGGUUGAAUGAGAUAUAAUCUAUUUUUAUUUUAAUAAAAUGAAUUUAAAAUUUUAGUAAAAAUGCUAAAUUUUAAAAAUUAGACGAGAAGACCCUAUAGAUCUUAAUUAUUAUUUAAAUUUAAAAAUAUUGAAUAAUUUAUUUUAAUUAUUUUUUUUAAUUUUAUUGGGGCGAUAAUGAAAUUUUUAAAACUUUUAUUUUUAUUAAUAAAAAUAAUUAAUUUAUUGAUCCAUUAAUAAUGAUUAAAAGUUUAAGUUACCUUAGGGAUAACAGCAUAAUUAUUUUAGAAGAGUUCUUAUUAAUAAAAUAGUUUAUGACCUCCGAUGGUGAAAUAUAGGCGUAAAUAAGCAGCGCGGCCACAAA
rnacentral:rRNA from 1 species